GAUUCAGCGGCGGACGGGUGAGUAAUGCCUAGGAAUCUGCCUGGUAGUGGGGGACAACGUUUCGAAAGGAACGCUAAUACCGCAUACGUCCUACGGGAGAAAGCAGGGGACCUUCGGGCCUUGCGCUAUCAGAUGAGCCUAGGUCGGAUUAGCUAGUUGGUGAGGUAAUGGCUCACCAAGGCGACGAUCCGUAACUGGUCUGAGAGGAUGAUCAGUCACACUGGAACUGAGACACGGUCCAG
rnacentral:rRNA from 1 species